GAUGAACGCUGGCGGCGUGCUUAACACAUGCAAGUCGAACGAAGCAUUUGCGACAGAUUUUUUCGGAAUGAAGUUGCUUAUGACUGAGUGGCGGACGGGUGAGUAACGCGUGGGUAACCUGCCUUGUACUGGGGGAUAGCAGCUGGAAACGGCUGGUAAUACCGCAUAAGCGCACAAUGUUGCAUGACAUGGUGUGAAAAACUCCGGUGGUAUAGGAUGGACCCGCGUCUGAUUAGCUAGUUGGUGAGAUAACAGCCCACCAAGGCGACGAUCAGUAGCCGAGCUGAGAGGCUGGCCGGACACACUGGGAGUGAGACGCGGCCGAGACUCCUACGGGAGGCAGGAAUGGGGGAUAGAGCAAAACGGAGGAAACUAUGAAGCAGCGACGCCGGGUGAGUGAAGAAGUAAUGCAAGAUGUAAAGCUCUAUCAGCAGGGAAGAUAGUGACGGUACCUGACUAAGAAGCUCCGGCUAAAUACGUG
rnacentral:rRNA from 1 species